ACGAACGCUGGCGGCGCGCCUAACACAUGCAAGUCGAACGGAGUCAAGAGGAGCUUGCUUUUCUUGACUUAGUGGCGAACGGGUGAGUAACGCGUGAGUAACCUGCCCUGGAGUGGGGGACAACAGUUGGAAACGACUGCUAAUACCGCAUAAGCCCACGGAUCUGCAUGGAUCUGCGGGAAAAGGAUUUAUUCGCUCUAGGAUGGACUCGCGUCCAAUUAGCUAGUUGGUGAGGUAACGGCCCACCAAGGCGACGAUUGGUAGCCGGACUGAGAGGUUGAACGGCCACAUUGGGACUGAGACACGGCCCAGACUCCUACGGGAGGCAGCAGUGGGGGAUAUUGCACAAUGGGGGAAACCCUGAUGCAGCGACGCCGCGUGGAGGAAGAAGGUUUUCGGAUUGUAAACUCCUGUCGUUAGGGACGAUAAUGACGGUACCUAACAAGAAAGCACCGGCUAACUACGUG
rnacentral:rRNA from 1 species